GACGAACGCUGGCGGCGUGCCUAAUACAUGCAAGUAGAACGCUGAAGGAGGAGCUUGCUUCUCUGGAUGAGUUGCGAACGGGUGAGUAACGCGUAGGUAACCUGCCUGGUAGCGGGGGAUAACUAUUGGAAACGAUAGCUAAUACCGCAUAAGAGUAGAUGUUGCAUGACAUUUGCUUAAAAGGUGCAAUUGCAUCACUACCAGAUGGACCUGCGUUGUAUUAGCUAGUUGGUGGGGUAACGGCUCACCAAGGCGACGAUACAUAGCCCACCUGAGAGGGGGAUCGGCGCCACUGGGGCUGAGACAAGGCCCAGACUCCUACGGGAGGCAGCAGUAGGGAAUCUUCGGCAAGGGACGGAAGUCUGACCGAGCAACGCCGCGUGAGUGAAGAAGGUUGUCGGAUCGUAAAGAUCUGUUGUAAGAGAAGAACGAGUGUGAGAGUGGAAAGUUCACACUGUGACGGUAUCUUACCAGAAAGGGACGGCUAACUACGUG
rnacentral:rRNA from 1 species